AACCAUCACCUCUGCAGAGGAACCGACUCAAACACGAGAAGAACCGACUCAAACACCUUAAGAACUGACUCAAACACCAGAAGAACCGACACAAACACGAGAAGAACCGACACAAACACCAGAAAAACCGACACAAACACCAGAAGAACCGACAAAAACACGAGAAGAACCGACUCAAAUACCAGAAGAACCAACUCAAACACCAGAAGAACCGACUCAAACACCAGAAGAACCGACUCAAACACAAGAAGAACCGACACAAACACCUUAAGAACCGACUCAAACACGAGAAGAACCGACUCAAACACCAGAAGAACCGACUCAAACACCAGAAGAACCGACACAAACACGAGAAGAACCGACAAAAACACGAGAAGAACCGACUCAAAUACCAGAAGAACCGACUCAAACACCAGAAGAACCGACUCAAACACGAGAAGAACCGACACAAACACGAGAAGAACCGACACAAACACCUUAAGAACCGACACAAACACGAGAAGAACCGACACAAACACGAGAAGAACCGACAAAAACACGAGAAGAACCGACUCAAAUACCAGAAGAACCGACUCAAACACCUUAAGAACCGACUCAAACACCUUAAGAACCGACUCAAACACCAGAAGAACCGACACAAACACCUUAAGAACCGACUCAAUCGCCAGAAGAACCGACACAAACACGAGAAGAACCGACUCAAACACCAGAAGAACCGACACAAACACCUUAAGAACCGACACAAACACCAGAAGAACCGACACAAACACCAGAAGAACCGACUCAAACACCAGAAGAACCGACACAAACACCAGAAGAACCGACUCAAACACCAGAAGAACCGACACAAACACCUUAAGAACCGACACAAACACCUUAAGAACCGACACAAACACCAGAAGAACCGACACAAACACCAGAAGAACCGACACAAACACCAGAAGAACCGACUCAAACACCAGAAGAACCGACACAAACACCUUAAGAACCGACUCAAUCACCAGAAGAACCGACACAAACACGAGAAGAACCGACAAAAACACGAGAAGAACCGACUCAAAUACCAGAAGAACCGACUCAAACACCAGAAGAACCGACUCAAACACCUUAAGAACCGACUCAAUCACCAGAAGAACCGACACAAACACGAGAAGAACCGACACAAACACCAGAAGAACCGACAAAAACACGAAGAACCGACUCAAACACCAGAAGAACCGACUCAAACACCUUAAGAACCGACUCAAACACGAGAAGAACCGACUCAAACACCAGAAGAACCGACUCAAACACCUUAAGAACCGACUCAAACACCUUAAGAACCGACUCAAACACCAGAAGAACCAACUCAAACACCAGAAGAACCGACUCAAACACCAGAAGAACCGACUCAAACACAAGAAGAACCGACACAAACACCUUAAGAACCGACUCAAACACGAGAAGAACCGACUCAAACACCAGAAGAACCGACUCAAACACCAGAAGAACCGACACAAACACGAGAAGAACCGACAAAAACACGAGAAGAACCGAGUCAAACACCAGAAGAACCGACUCAAACACCAGAAGAACCGACAAAAACACGAGAAGAACCGACUCAAAUACCAGAAGAACCGACUCAAACACCAGAAGAACCGACUCAAACACGAGAAGAACCGACACAAACACGAGAAGAACCGACACAAACACGAGAAGAACCGACAAAAACACGAGAAGAACCGACUCAAAUACCAGAAGAACCGACUCAAACACCUUAAGAACCGACUCAAUCGCCAGAAGAACCGACACAAACACGAGAAGAACCGACUCAAACACCAGAAGAACCGACACAAACACCUUAAGAACCGACUCAAUCGCCAGAAGAACCGACACAAACACGAGAAGAACCGACUCAAACACCAGAAGAACCGACACAAACACCUUAAGAACCGACACAAACACCAGAAGAACCGACACAAACACCAGAAGAACCGACUCAAACACCAGAAGAACCGACACAAACACCAGAAGAACCGACUCAAACACCAGAAGAACCGACACAAACACGAGAAGAACCGACACAAACACCUUAAGAACCGACACAAACACCAGAAGAACCGACACAAACACCAGAAGAACCGACUCAAACACCAGAAGAACCGACACAAACACCUUAAGAACCGACACAAACACCAGAAGAACCGACACAAACACCAGAAGAACCGACUCAAACACCAGAAGAACCGACACAAACACCUUAAGAACCGACUCAAUCACCAGAAGAACCGACACAAACACGAGAAGAACCGACAAAAACACGAGAAGAACCGACUCAAAUACCAGAAGAACCGACUCAAACACCAGAAGAACCGACUCAAACACCUUAAGAACCGACUCAAUCACCAGAAGAACCGACACAAACACGAGAAGAACCGACACAAACACGAGAAGAACCGACAAAAACACGAAAAGAACCGACUCAAACACCAGAAGAACCGACUCAAACACCUUAAGAACCGACUCAAACACCUUAAGAACCGACUCAAACACCAGAAGAACCGACUCAAACACCAGAAGAACCGACUCAAACACCAGAAGAACCGACACAAACACCUUAAGAACCAACUCAAACACCAGAAGAACCGACUCAAACACGAGAAGGACCGACACAAACACGAGAAGAACCGACAAAAACACGAGAAGAACCGACUCAAAUACCAGAAGAACCGACUCAAACACCAGAAGAACCGACUCAAACACCAGAAGAACCGACUCAAACAUGAGAAGAACCGACUCAAAUACCAGAAGAACCGACUCAAAUACCAGAAGAACCGACUCAAAUACCAGAAGAACCGACUCAAACACCAGAAGAACCGACUCAAACACCUUAAGAACCGACUCAAACACCAGAAGAACCGACUCAAACACCAGAAGAACCGACACAAACACCUUAAGAACCGACUCAAACACCAGAAGAACCGACACAAACACCAGAAGAACCGACACAAACACCAGAAGAACCGACUCAAACACCAGAAGAACCGACACAAACACUUUAAGAACCGACACAAACACCAGAAGAACCGACACAAACACCAGAAGAACCGACUCAAACACCAGAAGAACCGACACAAACACCUUAAGAACCGACUCAAUCACCAGAAGAACCGACACAAACACGAGAAGAACCGACAAAAACACGAGAGGAACCGACUCAAAUACCAGAAGAACCGACUCAAACACCAGAAGAACCGACUCAAAUACUAG
ensembl:lncRNA